UCGCAACUCUCGUGCAUUGUGAAGGUUUGCUCGCACUCACGCGCUUGGCUUCUGCUGCCGUGGCGAGCGAGCGCGAGUGGGGACGAAGAAAAAGAACCAGGAGAGAGAAAGAGAGAGAGAGAGUGAGUGAGGACUGAGGAAGAGGAGAGAAGGAUCGCGGCGCACAAGGCGAAGACAAGAAGAAGAAGAGUGUAGCGUGAGUGAGAGAGUUUUAAGUGAGGAAUUGAGGGAGGGAGGUAGAUGAAUGAGUAAGCCGGUAGAGAGUGAGAUCGCGUUGUGGAUGGUGAUCGGUUGGUUAGGAAAGGAAAGGACAACAAACAACCGAGUCCUGAGAGAGUGAACUUUUUCGUGAGGUUAUGGUCAGCAGCUCUAAGACUAAGACUAAGCCAAAGCUGACGUCUGUUGAUGCUAUCACAACAUUCUUACUGAGAGCCGCAGACAGUUUCUAAUUAGGCUUUGUUGUGGAGGAAGUGGAUGCUGGAGGAGAGACAGACAGGCAGGCAGAGAGAAAUAGAGAAAGAGAUAGAGAGCAGAGAGUGUGUGUGGAAGGAGUAGCUUGUUUCUUUCUCAGAUUCUCAGUCAACACCAAGGUAGUUUUUUACGGCUCUGUCAUAGAGGUACAGGACGAGGAUUGAAACAUGUGUCCCUGACGCCGGCCGGUGACGAGAUCUUUUUUCUUUUCUUUUCGUCUGUGCGCAAGGAUACUGUUUUGAUACUCUGUGCUUUGCGUUGGCGGCGGAGGGAUACGAUACCGGGCAGCAGACGAAAAUAGUAACCCACCCCGUGGUUUCUGGAAGAGGUGGACAAAAUACGGAUAAUCUAUCUGGAUAACCGGAUAAUUACCAAUGAGACAUUGUCCGAAUUCAGACUCUGAACGCCUCUUUCCUGACCCGCUUGCCCGAAGUCGGUGCACCCAUUUGUUGAAGUGGUGGUGCUAACCCGUUCCUCGAAGUGGUCCUAACCCAUUUGCCGAAGAGGUUCAUACCAUAAUAUUAUUUGCAGAAGUGGUGCACUAACAUAUUGUCCGGAUUUUGCUAAAGCGACUCAUUGCCCAGCUCUAGUUUCUGUUCUGGAGCUCUCCCACGCUUGAAGGAAGGGGGAGUCAUCAAUGGAGUAAAAAACAGAGAGGAGGUAGCGGCGAUCGAUGGAGUGAACACAGGACUGGCUUGUCGGGCUUAUUUUCUACACCCAGGAGGAGGAGGAGGAGGAGGAGGAAGGGACCGGGACGGAUAGAGAGAAGGACGGAUUCUUCUUCUGGAUGAGGAGAAAGGAGGAGGAGAAGGAAGAAUAAAGUCGAGUUGUGACCUAGUCGUACAGACAGAAUGGCGAAGAGAUAUACAGA